rnacentral:rRNA from 1 species
AUACGUAGGUGGCGAGCGUUGUCCGAAAUCAUUGGGCGUAAAGAGCGCGUAGGUGGCUUGUCAGGUCUGAUGUGAAAACCUGGGGCUCAACUCCAGGCCUGCAUCGGAAACCGGCUUGCUAGAGUCUGGGAGAGGAGAGUGGAAUUCCUGGUGUAGCGGUGAAAUGCGUAGAUAUCAGGAGGAACACCGGUAGCGAAGGCGGCUCUCUGGAACAGUACUGACGCUGAGGCGCGAAAGCUAGGGGAGCGAACAGGAUUAGAUACCCUGGUAGUCCACGCCGUAAACGAUGAGUACUAGCUGUCGGAGGUUACCCCCUUCGGUGGCGCAGCUAACGCAUUAAGUACUCCGCCUGGGAAGUACGCUCGCAAGAGUGAA